rnacentral:rRNA from 2 species
UGAGGAAUAUUGCACAAUGGGCGCAAGCCUGAUGCAGCAACGCCGCGUGCGGGACGAAGGCCUUCGGGUCGUAAACCGCUUUUCUGGGGAAAGAGCAAGGACGGUACCUCAGGAAUAAGUCUCGGCUAACUACGUGCCAGCAGCCGCGGUAAAACGUAGGAGGCGAGCGUUAUCCGGAUUUACUGGGCGUAAAGCGCACGCAGGCGGCUCUGUGAGUCGGACGUGAAAGCUCCCGGCUUAACCGGGAGAGGCCGUUCGAUACUGCGGGGCUUGAGGUAGGGAGAGGAAUGCGGAAUUCCCGGUGUAGUGGUGGAAUGCGUAGAUAUCGGGAGGAACACCUGUGGCGAAAGCGGCAUUCUGGCCCUCACCUGACGCUGAGGUGCGAAAGCGUGGGUAGCAAACAGG